CCUGAGAAACGGCUACCACAUCCAAGGAAGGCAGCAGGCGCGCAAAUUACCCACUCCCGGCACGGGGAGGUAGUGACGAAAAAUAACGAUACGGGACUCAUCCGAGGCCCCGUAAUCGGAAUGAGUACACUUUAAAUCCUUUAACGAGGACCAAUUGGAGGGCAAGUCUGGUGCCAGCAGCCGCGGUAAUUCCAGCUCCAAUAGCGUAUAUUAAAGUUGUUGCGGUUAAAAAGCUCGUAGUCAAUUUUGUGUCCCACACUGUCGGUUCACCGCUCGCGGUAACUGGCAUGUUAUGUGGACGUCUACCGGUGGGUGGUGUGCUGUAUGCGUAUUUAGUGUUGUCUUGUACUCUCACUUGUAUGUGUGCUGCAUUGUAAGUGCUUAGCCGUGAAGAACGCGGCAGCCCCCAAUUACAAUCCCGUCGCGGUCCUCUUAAUUGAGUGUCGAGGUGGGCCGGUUUCUUUGAACAAAUUAGAGUGCUUAAAGCAGGCUAAAAUUUUGCCUAAAUAUUGUGUGCAUGGAAUAAUGGAAUAGGACCUCGGUUCUAUUUUGUUGGUUUUCGGAACUCCGAGGUAAUGAUUAAUACGGACAGAUGGGGGCAUUCGUAUUGCGACGUUAGAGGUGAAAUUCUUGGACCGUCGCAAGACGGACAGAAGCGAAAGCAUUUGCCAAAAAUGUUUUGAUUGAUCAAGAACGAAAGUUAGAGGUUCGAAGGCGAUCAGAUACCGCCCUAGUUCUAACCAUAAACGAUGCCAGCUAGCGAUCCGCCGAAGUUCCUCCGAUGACUCGGCGGGCAGCUUCCGGGAAACCAAAGCGUUUGGGUUCCGGGGGAAGUAUGGUUGCAAAGCUGAAACUUAAAGGAAUUGACGGAAGGGCACCACCAGGAGUGGAGCCUGCGGCUUAAUUUGACUCAACACGGGAAACCUCACCAGGCCCAGACACCGGAAGGAUUGACAGAUUGAGAGCUCUUUCUUGAUUCGGUGGGUGGUGGUGCAUGGCCGUUCUUAGUUGGUGGAGCGAUUUGUCUGGUUAAUUCCGAUAACGAACGAGACUC
rnacentral:rRNA from 1 species